UACGUAGGGCACAAGCGUUGUCCGGAAUUAUUGGGCGUAAAGAGCUCGUAGGCGGCCUGUUGCGUCCGCUGUGAAAUCCCGGGGCUCAACCCCGGGCCUGCAGUGGAUACGGGCUGGCUAGAGGCAGGCAGGGGAGAACGGAAUUCCUGGUGUAGCGGUGAAAUGCGCAGAUAUCAGGAGGAACACCGGUGGCGAAGGCGGUUCUCUGGGCCUGUACUGACGCUGAGGAGCGAAAGCGUGGGGAGCGAACAGG
rnacentral:rRNA from 1 species